UACGUAGGGUGCGAGCGUUAAUCGGAAUUACUGGGCGUAAAGCGUGCGCAGGCGGUUUUGUAAGCCAGAUGUGAAAUCCCCGGGCUUAACCUGGGAACUGCAUUCGAGACUGCAUUGCUAGAGUAUGGGAGAGGGAAGUGGAAUUUCCGGUGUAGCGGUGAAAUGCGUAGAUAUCCGGAGGAACACCGGUGGCGAAGGCGGCUUCCUGGACCGACACUGACGCUGAGGCGCGAAAGCUAGGGGAGCAAACGGG
rnacentral:rRNA from 1 species